rnacentral:rRNA from 1 species
AGGCCCUAGGGUUGUAAAGCAUGGAGGGGGGAGGAAAGGUGUGUAAUUAAUACUUACAUACUGUGACGUUAGCGACAGAAGAAGGACCGGCUAACUCCGUGCCAGCAGCCGCGGUAAUACGGAGGGUCCGAGCGUUAAUCGGAAUUACUGGGCGUAAAGCGCGCGUAGGUGGAUUGGUCAGUCAGAUGUGAAAGCCCAGGGCUCAACCUUGGAACUGCACCUGAUACUGCCAGUCUAGAAUACGGUAGAGGGUAGUGGAAUUUCCUGUGUAGCGGUGAAAUGCGUAGAUAUAGGAAGGAACACCAGUGGCGAAGGCGACUACCUGGACCGAUAU